CACGUAGGGCGCAAGCGUUGUCCGGAAUUAUUGGGCGUAAAGAGCUCGUAGGUGGUCUGUUGCGUCCGCUGUGAAAACCCGCGGCUCAACCGCGUGGCUUGCAGUCGAUACGGGCAGGCUAGAAUUCGGUAGGGGAGACUGGAAUUCCUGGUGUAGCGGUGAAAUGCGCAGAUAUCAGGAGGAACACCGGUGGGCGAAGGCGGGGUCUCUGGGCCGAUAAUUGAC
rnacentral:rRNA from 1 species